CCUACGGGGGGCUGCAGUGGGGAAUUUUGGACAAUGGGGGCAACCCUGAUCCAGCCAUUCCGCGUGAGUGAAGAAGGCCUUCGGGUUGUAAAGCUCUUUCGGCAGGAACGAAACGGUGAGCUCUAACAUAGCUCGCUAAUGACGGUACCUGAAGAAGAAGCACCGGCUAACUACGUGCCAGCAGCCGCGGUAAUACGUAGGGUGCGAGCGUUAAUCGGAAUUACUGGGCGUAAAGCGUGCGCAGGCGGUUGUGUAAGACAGGUGUGAAAUCCCCGGGCUUAACCUGGGAACUGCGCUUGUGACUGCACGGCUAGAGUAUGGCAGAGGGGGGUGGAAUUCCACGUGUAGCAGUGAAAUGCGUAGAGAUGUGGAGGAACACCGAUGGCGAAGGCAGCCCCCUGGGCCAAUACUGACGCUCAUGCACGAAAGCGUGGGGAGCAAACAGGAUUAGAUACCCCAGUAGUC
rnacentral:rRNA from 1 species